rnacentral:rRNA from 1 species
GCUGUCGGUCAUACUGCGUCGAACGCACCGGAUCCCUUCAGAACUCCGAAGUUAAGCGGCGCAAGGCCCGGUUAGUACUUGGG